CAACUAUAGACUGAAACCUCUACAAACUGCCAUCAGAUGGCCCUGCAGACUGGAGGACAGCACCAGGGUUGAGCACAUGAUGAGCCUCAACCCAGAAACUCCGCCGCACUGCCUGCUGGGAGCCAGGCUCUGUGUACAGCGCUUUGCACAGGUCUAUGUCCUCACCUGGGCCAUCGUCUCCCACUUCACAGACAAAGGAGCUGGUAGGCAGAGAGGUUAGCUCUGCUGACAACCAGACCACAAGGAAAUGCAGUUGAUGCCCAUGCUGUUCCUGCUACCUGUAACACCCUUCCCACUGCCUCGUCCCUCUAGCAGACUCCUAUUCGUGCUUCAAGACCCAGGAAGGCUGCACGUUCAUGGACAACAAUCAGAUAUCUGCCCAGUAUAUCAGGCAGUGGGACCCUUUCUCCAGACAGGAGAAGUUUUCUGAGGCCACAGAAUCCGAAAGAAAGAAGCAGUCUGGGAACUUCAAACUCAACAGUCCUGGAAUUCUGACCCAGGCAGCCAAGAUCACCCUGAGGGGUUAACACAAGAGCCACUGGAGGCUGAGUGUCCCUCCCCAUCCUCACGGCCCCUCUUCCAGCAGCUGUGUGGUGGUAGAAACACUCCUCUUGCGGCAGACCCCAUGCAGCCAUUGCAUCCACCGUCGUGGUGAUUAAAUCCAAUUUCAAUGUAAAAGCAACACUUGAGAUACAAAGGUGACACAUGGUGAUCAACUCAACCCAACAGGUG